rnacentral:lncRNA from 1 species
CCUUCUGAUGUUCGGAUGUGUUCGGAGUUUCUUCCUUCUGGUGGGUUCGUGGUCUCGCUGGCUCGGGAGUGAAGCUGCAGACGUUUGCGGAACUCGUGAGUUAUGACAAAAAGAUAUUAUGACUCCCAUGCAGCGGAUGAAGACAUUGAUGCCCAUGAAAGGUAAUUCAGUUCCAACCCCUUCAGUGACAGCAGAGAGACCCAGGCCACCUUCCUUGAGGAUUUCGGAGCUGCAGCCCACAGCCAGGGCCAGAGUGGACUCAGCUCUCCAACCCACGUUAGGUUUUGCCGCCAUAAAAUGAACCAGGGAGCUGUCCAACAUCCUACCAUAUAAAACAAUCCACUCCUAAGUUGUACUUCAGUAACAAAACGAAUCUCUCUUUAACGAUGUCUCCUUCAUCAACUUUCCAAAAAUCCCAUGAAUCUCUGCGACUAAAGAUUUCCCCAGACGCUCCCAGGUUCCUCCUGAUCUGCAGCAUUGUCGUCCCUGCCACUGACCAGGAAGCCCUCUGUGCUCCCAUAGCCCCUUCAGAAACCUGUGACUUCCUGAGUCCUAAGUCUUCAGCAGAAACAGCAGCUGCCCCACGCCUUGAGCGGCAGCAGGACCCUUUCUGCCCUGAUCUCCACUCAGCGCUGGAAGCCUGCCAGUGGGAGACAGAGGAAGAGGGAAGGAUUCAAUAAACCCACAAUCUGAGAAGGACCGAGAUGAAUUCUGUGAGAAUUUCUUAUUUGCUGGGCUCCUUUGGAUUACUCUAAUAUGUUAUCUCAAUUAAACCAUAUUGCAACACC